rnacentral:rRNA from 1 species
CCUACGGGAGGCUGCAGUGAGGAAUAUUGGUCAAUGGGAGAGAUCCUGAACCAGCCAAGCCGCGUGAGGGAAGACGGCCCUAUGGGUUGUAAACCUCUUUUGUCGGAGAACAAAUCCCGGUACGUGUCCCGGACUGCGUGUAUCCGACGAAAAAGCAUCGGCUAACUCCGUGCCAGCAGCCGCGGUAAUCCGGAGGAUUCGAGCGUUAUCCGGAUUUAUUGGGUUUAAAGGGUGCGUGGGCGGUCCGUUAAGUCAGCGGUAAAAUUCCGGGGCUCAACCCCGUCGAGCCGUUGAUACUGGCAGACUUGAGUUGGCGAGAGGUAGGCGGAAUGCGAGGUGUAGCGGUGAAAUGCAUAGAGAU